UCUGUCAAUGAUGAACAGUUUAUAUCCCUUGCUUGAGUUUAACGACCAUGAGAAAACUCACAUGCACUACCAUCUGAGACGAG